GACGAACGCUGGCGGCGUGCCUAAUACAUGCAAGUAGAACGCUGAAGGAGGAGCUUGCUUCUCUGGAUGAGUUGCGAACGGGUGAGUAACGCGUAGGUAACCUGCCUGGUAGCGGGGGAUAACUAUUGGAAACGAUAGCUAAUACCGCAUAAGAGUAGAUGUCGCAUGACAUUUGCUUAAAGGGUGCAAUUGCAUCACUACCAGAUGGACCUGCGUUGUAUUAGCUAGUUGGUGAGGUAACGGCUCACCAAGGCAACGAUACAUAGCCGACCUGAGAGGGUGAUCGGCCACACUGGGACUGAGACACGGCCCAGACUCCUACGGGAGGCAGCAGUAGGGAAUCUUCGGCAAUGGACGGAAGUCUGACCGAGCAACGCCGCGUGAGUGAAGAAGGGUUUCGGAUCGUAAAGCUCUGUUGUAAGAGAAGAACGAGUGUGAGAGUGGAAAGUUCACACUGUGACGGUAUCUUACCAGAAAGGGACGGCUAACUACGUG
rnacentral:rRNA from 1 species